rnacentral:rRNA from 1 species
AGUAGGGAAUCUUCGGCAAUGGACGAAAGUCUGACCGAGCAAUGCCGCGUGAGUGAAAAAGGUUUUCGGAUCGUAAAGCUCUGUUGUUAGAGAAGAACAUGGAUGAGAGUAACUGUUCCCCCCUUGACGGUAUCUAACCAGAAAGCCUCGGCUAACUACGUGCCAGCAGCCGCGGUA